CCUACGGGUGGCAGCAGUGGGGAAUAUUGCACAAUGGGCGAAAGCCUGAUGCAGCAACGCCGCGUGAAGGAAGAAGGGUCUCGGCUCGUAAACUUCUAUCCAUACGGACGAAAGAAAUGACGGUACCUGAAUAAGAAGACCCGGCUAACAACGUGCCAGCAGCAGCGGUAAUACGGAGGGGGCAAGCGUUAUCCGGAAUUACUGGGUGUAAAGGAUGAGUAGGCGGCAUGGUAAGCCAGAUGUGAAAGGCUUGGGCUUAACCCGAGGAUUGCAUUUGGAACUAUCAAGCUAGAGUACAGGAGAGGGAAGCGGAAUUCCUAGUGUAGCGGUGAAAUGCGUAGAUAUUAGGAAGAACACCAGUGGCGAAGGCGGCUUUCUGGACUGAAACUGACGCUGAGGCACGAAGGCGUGGGGAGCGAACAGGAUUAGAUACCCCUGUAGUC
rnacentral:rRNA from 1 species